UACGGGGGGGGGCAAGCGUUGUUCGGAAUUACUGGGCGUAAAGGGCUCGUAGGCGGCCAACUAAGUCAGACGUGAAAUCCCUCGGCUUAACCGGGGAACUGCAUCUGAUACUGGAUGGCUUGAGUUCGGGAGAGGGAUGCGGAAUUCCAGGUGUAGCGGUGAAAUGCGUAGAUAUCUGGAGGAACACCGAUGGCGAAGGCAGAUCUCUGGGCCGUAACUGACGCUGAGGAGCGAAAGCAUGGGGAGCGAACAGG
rnacentral:rRNA from 1 species